GCGGGAGUAAAAGAUAUCUGCUGUGUUUUUUGCACAGAGGAAAGUCCGGACACCUUGGGCAGGAUACUUCCUAACGGGAAGCUGCAGUAAUGCAGAGCUAGCUCCACAGAAACAAACCGCACAGCAUCAUUUCGGUGCUAUGCAAGGGUGAAAUGGUGGUGUAAGAGACCACCGGUGCCAUUGGCGACAGUGGCAGCCAGGAAUGCCUUAUCCGGUGCAAUGCCAAAUAGGGAAGCUACGGUGCGCCCACACCGCUUCCGGGUAGGCAGCUUGAACCAAAGCGUGAGUUUUGGUCCAGAUGGAUAGAUAUCAAAUCCCCUUGGGGAUUACAGAAUCCGGCUUAUUGAACUCCCGCGAAU
rnacentral:RNase_P_RNA from 1 species